AACGAACGCUGGCGGCAUGCCUAACACAUGCAAGUCGAACGAGACCUUCGGGUCUAGUGGCGCACGGGUGCGUAACGCGUGGGAAUCUGCCCUUUGCUUCGGAAUAACAGUUAGAAAUGACUGCUAAUACCGGAUGAUGUCUUCGGACCAAAGAUUUAUCGGCAAAGGAUGAGCCCGCGUAGGAUUAGGUAGUUGGUGGGGUAAAGGCCUACCAAGCCGACGAUCCUUAGCUGGUCUGAGAGGAUGAUCAGCCACACUGGGACUGAGACACGGCCCAGACUCCUACGGGAGGGCAGCAGUGGGGAAUAUUGGACAAUGGGCGGCAGCCUGAUCCAGCAAUGCCGCGUGAGU
rnacentral:rRNA from 1 species